rnacentral:rRNA from 1 species
AGAGUACGUGAAACCGUUCAGGGGUAAACCUGAGAAACCCGAAAGGUCGAAAGGGGAAAUUCAUUCGCGUUUCGGCAGUCGGCGUUGGAUGGUCGAGUGACGGAUGGCGUACGCGUCGUCCGCGCCUUCCUUCCUUCGAACCGGCGUCGAACGCGUGCACUUUUCGCCUAGUAGGACGUCGCGAUCCGUUGGGUGUCGGUCUAAGGCCCGUAGUGGAGCCCGUGCGGAAGUUUCGGCUUCCGCUCGGACCUGCGGUGUCCCGGCCGACUCGCUCGACGGUAUACAGAUGGCGAGGGGCCGCUACUCAGUUAGCGUUCGGCCUGCGGCAAGCGCGUUCGGUGUUUGACGGCGAUCGGACCUGGUGCCGGUCCUGUCCCCGAACGACUGUUGGCCGUGGUGUUCUCGAACAGACCUCGAAACGAAACGCCGAUCUGCGACGCUAUAGCUUUGGGUACUUUCAGGACCCGUCUUGAAACACGGACCAAGGAGUCUAGCAUGUGCGCGAGUCAUUGGGACAUAACUAAACCUAAAGGCGCAAUGAAAGUGAAGGUCCGCCUUGCGCGGACCAAGGGAGGAUGGGCGGUUCGCCCUUAAAAGCGGCCGCUCCGCACUCCCGGGGCGUCUCGUUCUCAUUGCGAGAAGA